rnacentral:misc_RNA from 1 species
GGUGUGAUGUAUAAUGCAGAUAGAGAUGGCAACAAAGUUACAACCGUGGUGGCUACACCUGGUGCUGGUCCAGAUCGUCCCCAAGAGAUCUCCUAUACAGACACUAAAGUAAUCGGUAACGGCAGCUUCGGCGUUGUAUAUCUAGCGAAAUUAUGCGACACGGAAGAACUGGUCGCCAUCAAGAAAGUUCUUCAAGACAAACGAUUUAAGAACAGAGAAUUGCAAAUCAUGCGGCGCCUCGAGCAUUGUAACAUCGUGAAACUGAAAUAUUUCUUCUAUUCUAGUGGUGAUAAGAACAUCUUAAACGCAACUAAUCCAGUUUUUCAUGUGGACAAGGACGAGGUUUAUUUGAACCUAGUGCUGGAAUACAUACCUGAAACUGUGUAUAAAGUUGCUCGGCAUUAUAACAAGAGCAAGCAGACCAUACCGAUUAAUUUCAUUAAGCUGUAUAUGUAUCAAUUAUUCCGUUCUCUGGCGUAUAUCCACUCGCUGGGAAUCUGCCACAGGGAUAUCAAACCGCAAAAUCUUCUUCUGGACCCGGAAUCCGGCGUUCUUAAGCUCUGUGAUUUUGGUUCCGCCAAACAUCUGGUCAAAGGGGAGCCCAAUGUGUCUUACAUCUGUAGUCGUUACUAUCGCGCGCCCGAAUUGAUCUUUGGUGCUAUUGAUUAUACUACAAAAAUCGAUGUUUGGAGCGCAGGUUGCGUAGUGGCAGAAUUAUUGCUCGGCCAACCGAUAUUCCCAGGGGACAGUGGAGUGGAUCAAUUGGUCGAGAUCAUCAAGGUGCUCGGCACCCCGACACGUGACCAGAUACGUGAGAUGAACCCCAAUUACACCGAGUUCAAAUUCCCACAAAUUAAGGCGCAUCCAUGGCAAAAGGUGUUCAGGGCACGCACGCCACCCGAAGCGAUGGAAUUAGUCGCUGGUCUCCUAGAGUAUACGCCAUCCGGCCGAAUCACACCGUUAGAAGCAUGCGCCCAUCCUUUCUUCGAUGAACUUCGGGAGCAGGGUACGCGAUUACCAAAUGGCCGAGAACUUCCUCCUUUAUUUAACUUUACAGAAUACGAGCUGCGGAUUCAGCCAUCUUUAAACUCGAUCCUAAAGCCGAAGUACAUGCAGACUUCGGAGAAUGCUGGAGGCCAGUCAGAACCUGUCGCGGGUAGCAGUGGUAACGUUAGUGAUAAUAACGUGAACGCCACGUUAUCCACCUCAAAGAACACAGACCCCGGCCAAUCGAACAUGGCUUAAGCUACUUUUUAUUUCUAACGUUUAAUUAAACAACAAAACGAGAAAGACACAAAGAGAGAAAGAGAGAGAGGGAGGAAAGGAGGGAAGAAGAGAGAAGGAGAGAAAAAAAAAAUAUUUCUCGAGAGGAAUAUAUUUAUAAGUAUAUUUAAUUAGCUGUGUAUCGAUCAAAGGAAAUUAGCAAUGGCUUUCGAUCGUUAAUUCAAUCGCAAAUCAUUUAUUUUCCGUUCGAUUCGACGCUUCGGUACGAAGCUACAGAUCGUAAAAUAUAUUCCUGUCGAGUAUCUUUGUAGAGCAAGAACGAUAAUAAUUUUAUCAUGCAAGAAAAAUUAAAGAUCUCUUUAAGAGUCAUUAUAUCACGAUUAUCCAUGAUGUUUCAUUAACUUUAUUUCUGUUUGUGAAGGUUAUUCUUUUUUUUUUUUCUUUUUUUCUUUUUUUUUUCCCCCCCCCCCCACAUUAAUUCUGAAAUGUAUUCAUUCAGAUGUAUCAUUCGUUAGAAAGAAAUUCGAAAAUUCAAUCGGAAUAUAUACACGUUUUGAACGAUCGUGGCUAAAAUAAUGUAGCAAGCACUGUAUAUUUCCAACGUUGUACGCAUGAUGAACGGAAAACGUUUCAAUCACGAUGAAUUGUUGAAUUAUCGUUACGAUAUCAUUUUUUUAAUUUUUUCCUGUUUUUCGUGUCGUACACAUUCUAAAAAUGGCGAAUAAUCGAUCUAAACUAAGAAGAAGAAGAAAAAAAAAAAAAAAGUAAGUUCGUUUCGUUGCGGUAUAUAAAUAUCGUAUAUGCAAAUAUCGUAUACGGUAUUUUUAAGGACAAAUAUAUUUUUAAGUUAUAAUAGUGAUCAAUUAAUACGAAAUUCGUCGAUGAAUAAACUGAUUAUUUGUUUCUGAUUGAUUGGUUCGAGACAAUCGUUAGAUAAAAA